GGAAGUAAAAGUCGUAACAAGGUCUCCGUUGGUGAACCAGCGGAGGGAUCAUUAGAGAGUAUACCAACUCCCAAACCCAUGUGAACAUACCUCUCGUUGCCUCGGCGGAGAGGGGAUUCGUCAAUCAGCCUGCCGAGAACACUGAGUAAUAUACCUCAUGUCUCAGGGUUGAGGGGCUACCCGGGUAUCACUACCCUGUAGCUCCAGGUGACCCCCCGCCGCCGCCGGCCCACGAAACUCUGUUUUAUUUUGCAACUCUGAAUCUUAAAACAAAUAAGUUAAAACUUUCAACAACGGAUCUCUUGGUUCUGGCAUCGAUGAAGAACGCAGCGAAAUGCGAUAAGUAAUGUGAAUUGCAGAAUUCAGUGAAUCAUCGAAUCUUUGAACGCACAUUGCGCCCAUUAGUAUUCUAGUGGGCAUGCCUGUUCGAGCGUCAUUUCAACCCUUAAGCCCUGCUGCUUAGCGUUGGGAGCCCGCUGGCCUCUGGCCUGCAGCCCCUCAAAAUCAGUGGCGGAGUUAGUGUAUACUCUAGGCGUAGUAAUUUUUAUCUCGCUUCUGUGGUUACGCUGGCGCCUGCCGUAAAACCCCCAAUUUUUAAAUGGUUGACCUCGGAUCAGGUAGGAAUACCCGCUGAACUUAAGCAUAUCAAUAAGCGGAGGA
rnacentral:misc_RNA from 1 species